UGACUAGUUUUGUCCUUGCUGUCUCCCC
rnacentral:sRNA from 1 species